rnacentral:rRNA from 1 species
GACGAACGCUAGCGGCGUGCUUAACACAUGCAAGUCGAACAAGUGGCGAACGGGUGAGUAAUACGAGAGUAACCUGCCCUCGUUUUGGCAUCAGGCAAGGAAAAGGGGUCUAAUACAGAAUAAUGGGGGAUGGGCUCGCGGCCUAUCAGCUGGUUGGUGGGGUGAUGGCCUACCAAGGCGGUGACUGGUAGCCGGCCUUAGAGGGUGACCGGCCACAUUGGGACUGAGACACGGCACAGACGCCGACGGGAGGCAGCAGUGUGGGAUAUUGCACAAUGGGCGAAAGCCUGAGUCAGCGACGCGGGGUGGGGGAUGAAGGCUUUCGGUUUGUAAACCGCUGUCGCUAUCGAACGGGUAGGUGGAGAAUAAGCGCCGGCUAACUACGUGCCAGCCGCCGCGGUAAUAC